GAGCUGGGUGUGGCGUCGGAUGCCAGACAGUGUUGUCACUCUUCACAUCUCCAGGGACACUCCAGGCAACAGCUUGCCCCAAGUCAGCUCAGGUGGUGGCAGCAGGGAAGGAGGUGCGCUUGGAGCCAGGCAGCCCCGGAGGCACCACUUUCCAGCUGGGGGUCACUCAACUUUCAGGAAGCCCAGGGUCCUCCUCUGGCAGUGGUGACGGCCCCGGCCUCCAGGAGCGGCCGCAAGGAUUCAGAGCUGAUAAGGCUCAGGGAGCACUGACGGGGGAGCACUUCCUGUGUGCCAGGCCCAGGACUCAGCGCUGUGGUGCCCCGACCCCUGGAAAUCUCACAGCAGCCUGACUGACAGCUCGGGUCGUGUUGUGUAAGCUGGCUUCGGUGCCUGACGAGAAUCCCAACGCCACCACCUCCUUGGGCCACUCAUCUGACCUCACCAGGCCUCUGUUUCCUAUCUGCAAAAUGGGAACACUGAGUUCACAGGGCUGUGAGUCCCACAUGAACCGCCUUGGCCAGGGCCUGCUCCCUGCAAGGUCCUUUGGUGGGCUGUUAGGGUGAUUGUUGUCAUCUGCCCCCUGGGGGCUGCCAGAUGCAUCCCACCA
rnacentral:lncRNA from 1 species